CAAUAGCGUAUAUUAAAGUUGUUGCAGUUAAAAAGCUCGUAGUUGGAUUUCUGGUUGAAGCGACCGGUCGGGCGUUGAUUCGUCUGCACUGGAGUCGGUUUUGGCCAUCCUCUAGGAAAGUGCGUCUGGUAUUAAGUUAUCGGGCGUAUGAUCCUGGUCUUUUACUGUGAAAAAAUCAGAGUGUUUAAAGCAGGCCUUCGCCUUGAAUACAUUAGCAUGGAAUAAUAAGAUAGGACUUUGGUCUAUUUUGUUGGUUUGCAGACCGAAGUAAUGAUUAAUAGGGAUAGUUGGGGGUAUUUAUAUUCCGAUGUCAGAGGUGAAAUUCUUAGAUUUUCGGAAGAUAAACUUAUGCGAAAGCAUUUACCAAGGAUGUUUUCAUUAA
rnacentral:rRNA from 1 species